UCAGAAAAGUGACUCCUUCCUGUUACUCUCUAAGUUGUAUGAUUCCAAAGUGACAACUCCAAGGUCAUUCAGACGAAGGAGCUUAAAUGUAAAAUGAAUUUAUCAGAGGGGAAGAAUCUCAUUAUCCUGCAAUUUGAUGUUAUCACCGCCUUGCUAAUGAACACGCAGUGACAGAAAAUACAACUGUUCCAGAGGGAAGAAGAAAGAACUGGAGAUUAGAAGGGAGAGGGUAGGAUUACCCUGAAGGAGGAGAGGGGUGGUGAAAGGUGAGAGAUAAAGAAAACAGUCACACACUUGAAAGAGAGUUCUAGAUAAGGAAAGGAGGAGGGAUAAGGCUUUUAAAAAUGGAGACACCGAGAUAAAGAGUUUAUUGUAAAAUGGAGGAACAAAAUAUAUCAAGAGACUGCAAGGUUUAAGAUGAGAAAAUCAAUCGCUUUUAAAUAUAGAUAGUAACUGGGAAAUGGAGAUGGAUGGAGAUCCCAUGAGAGAGGUAACUUCUGAAC
rnacentral:lncRNA from 1 species